AUUCCAGCUCCAAUAGCGUAUAUUAAAGUUGUUGCAGUUAAAAAGCUCGUAGUUGGAUUUCUGGUGGGAGCGAUCGGUCUGGCGCUUAGCGCGAGUACUUGCAUCGUCUCCGGCCAUCCUUGGGGAGAGUUUGUCUGGCAUUAAGUUGUCGGGCAGAGGAUCCUCAUCGUUUACUGUGAAAAAAUUAGAGUGUUCAAAGCAGGCUUAUGCCGUUGAAUAUAUUAGCAUGGAAUAAUAAGAUAGGACUUUGGUACUAUUUUGUUGGUUUCUAGAGCUGAGGUAAUGAUUAAUAGGGAUAGUUGGGGGCAUUCGUAUUUAACUGUCAGAGGUGAAAUUCUUGGAUUUGUUAAAGACGGACUACUGCGAAGGCAUCUGCCAUGGAUGUUUUCAUCG
rnacentral:rRNA from 1 species